UACAGAGGUCCCAAGCGUUGUUCGGAUUCACUGGGCGUAAAGCGUGCGUAGACGGUCAUGUAAGUCGGAUGUGAAAGCCCCGGGCUCAACCUGGGAAUUGCAUUCGAGACUGCAUGGCUUGGGUGCGGAAGAGGGAAGCGGAAUUUCCGGUGUAGCGGUGAAAUGCGUAGAUAUCGGAAGGAACACCAGUGGCGAAAGCGGCUUCCUGGUCCGACACCGACGUUCAGGCACGAAAGCGUGGGGAGCAAACAGG
rnacentral:rRNA from 1 species